AUUGGCGUUGGUGUUAGGAUCAGGGCCAAGGGUAGAACCUUCAACAAACACCCUGUCAGCCAGGAGAGACUGAGAUGGAUCACUCAGCUGCACACGGAGUCCCGGUGUUGCUACUGGUGUGAGCCGAGGGAGCUCAGGGAAGCCUGUUGAUCUGCCGGCAGGCCCUGAAGUUUCUGACACAGAUCCGGGCCCAGCCCCUCAUCAACCUGCAGUUGGUGAACGCGUCUCUGUACGAGCAUGUGGAGCGGAUGCACCUCAUUGGGAGGAGCCGGGAGCAGCUGAAGCUCCUGGGGGAUUACCUGGGCCUGUGCCGGAGCGGUGCCCUGAAGGAGCUCAGCAAGAGGCUCAACCACAGGAAUUAUCUCUUGGAGUCUCCGCAUAGGUUCAGUGUUGCUGACCUCCAGCAGAUCGCAGACGGGGUGUAUGAAGGAUUCCUCAAGGCCCUGAUUGAAUUUGCCUCCCAGCAUGUCUACCACUGCGACCUGUGCACCCAGCGCGGCUUCAUCUGCCAGAUCUGCCAGCACCACGACAUCAUCUUCCCUUUUGAGUUUGACACCACAGUCAGGUGUGCCGAGUGCAAGACCGUCUUCCACCAGAGCUGCCAGGCUGUGGUGAAGAAGGGCUGCCCCCGCUGUGCCCGCCGGCGCAAGUACCAGGAACAGAACAUUUUUGCCUGAUGCCCACCUGCUGACCCCGCUCUGAAGGCCGGGGGUGAGUGUGGCUCAGCCAUCCCAGCUGGGUUUGCCAUCAGCCCAGGAUACUCACCGUGUCACAGCUCUGUCCCCUUGUCAGGAAGACCCUCAGAUGUGACCAGAGCACCGGCCUCCCAGAGAAAGCCCAGGAAGUCCCUGUGAUGUCCCCGGCCCUCCCCCUACCCCUCUGCUGCAGGAGGCAUGGCCACCACCAGAUGCUCUCUGUCUGGGGUCAGACAGGGCCUUUUACUUACCAGGCCCUGGCUCACCAGCGUCCUGGCACCUCCGUUAGGGCUGCCCAAACACUGUGGAAAGGGGACUUGGGGAGCAUUUUCAAUUCCACAUUCCUGAUUAAAAGGUCUAGUUUUUUAAGGUGGGUUUUUCCCAUUCAUAUUUCAACAGAAAGUAUUUUUUUAUUCUUGACCCUACGUGAGUCACCCAUGAAAUCCAGACAUUCUCACCCCCAGCGGAUGCACAGGAGCCACUCAGGCCUGGCCUAGAGGCAGUGGGUGGCUGGCGGGCAGGCCACUGCUGGGACAGGGCCUGCGGGCCCACCCGGUGCCUUUCCUUGGCCCUCACUGCCAGUGCCAAACCGCCCCCCGGCAGGGCAGGGCCAGUCCUGGUGACCCCACUUCCUGUCUCCUCUUUACUCCCCACCCCAGUGCGCCUCACCUGCUGAGCCCACCCCUUUCUCAGCGUCAGAGCCCCUAGCUCUUCUCUAGCCUGGGGCCUCGGCCCCAUUAAGAGAAGGAGAAAUGACUGGAAACCAGCACUGUCAGCACUUUGAGCCCUCCUCAGUUUAGGGAGGGUCGCCGUCUUGCCCACCCCCGAUCCCCGUGUGCUCCUCACCCCUCUACAGACAGGGCACUGCUGCAGAUGUUCCAGGCCCACCUUGGUGGGUGCCCGGGGUCACACUCUCUGCCUGACUGACCCCUGCCAGUGCACAGAUAGGCAGGACCCCAGAGAGGGCAGGCAGCCGCGCCCUGCACUGUGGAGAAGUGACCCGGUCCUUCGCUCUAAGCUGUGCAGGGCGUGCGGGGGAGCUGCCCUGUGGAUGCAGCCGCCGCCUCACAAAGCCAUGAAUUCCCACAGCAUCAGUGAACUUGCCCAGCCAGGACACGGGAGACUGAAGAACUUCCCCGGAGCAGGACUGCCUUUGAAGGGGCCUUGGGGCUGGGGUGGGAGCCUGGAAUUGUUUUCAAAGUGAUGGUCAGACCCUCCAGGUUUCGGGGAAAUGUGGGUUUGCUGGUCUCUCUGUAGCCUUCCCCCACCUCUUCUGGACCUAGCAGGCCCUCAGUCCUAGCUGUCUUACCUGCGCUCAGCUUGGAGUCUGAGGCCUCAGGUGGAGAUGCGCCUGUCACUGUCAGAGAUGAGCCCACCCCCACCCUUCCCUGGGGGCGAUUAGCUGCUGAGUCACCCACCCAGCCUUGGAGCUGGAUGCCUGUGCAGCAGAACAGAGGCGACGGUGGCAGGCAGGUGGAGGCUGUGCACAGCUUCUCCCGGUCAUGGCGCACACCUGUGCCCAGAUGCCAAUGCCUCCUAAGCCGGGAGCUGGGUUAUGCACCCCAUGGCCCACAUUAACGCUCCACCACAAGCCUGGCCUAGUCAGAGCCCUCAUUGCCCCAUCCCUGAGUGGGCAGGAGCCUGGCCUGGGGAGGGCUUGGGCCUGUGAGGAUUCUCCCUGAAGGUGCCCUCAGAGGCAGCAGGGUUGAGGCCCUGGGGGGCCCGUUCCCCAGAAGCUGCCAGUGCUUUCUGAUGCAUUGACUCUUCCCGCCUCUCCUCCCUCAGAAAGGUAGUGCCCACACUAUUUUUAAAAUGUUAUUUUAUGCAAUACACUGUUCCUAGUGAGCGGGGCUCUGGCCCUGAGGAGUCUUUGCAAUGUAUUGAAGGAAUUGCUGCCGUGUGAGUUUUGAAUGAUUUUGCAGUAAAGACCUGAUCUUUCUCA
rnacentral:sRNA from 1 species